rnacentral:lncRNA from 1 species
AGGCCCGCAACUUAGGGACGGUGUCCAGGAGCAAGGACCGCCAGCGGAGUUUUCAACCCACCACCCGGCUGCAAGCACCCCUGAGGUCGGAUACAGUGAGAACCAGUCUUGUGAAAAAGUUGUACUUGAAAUGUUUCUGCCUCUUUACUUCCUGGGAGCUCCCCGCUGGGUCCCCUAUAUUGUAAAUGCAGGUACUCUCCGUUCACGUUCACAACGUCUGCGUGAGUGCGAGGCUCUUAGGACUCUCAUUGUGCAGGAAAGGAUUAAGUCAACACACAAAUUUAAAUGGGACUGGAGACAGGUCAAGUAGGGCCGACCCCACGGAAGAGUAGACAAGACCACCAACCAGUAAACAGAGGUUAAGCUUCUAGGAAGCAGGAACGCCAAAUAGAUAAAAUUAACUGGAAAGGCAAGCUGCAGAACGGUAGGGAAAAACGGGAUCCCAUUAUUGCGGGUGGCGGUUAGAGAAACCCUACAAGUUCUUUAUGAUUUUACAUGCAGAGAAAAUGAGCGCAAGGUAAAACAGCACUGGUAGCACUGGUAAGCGGUCACUAGUUUUCUCCUGAUGUUUUGCUUAUUUUUUUAGAAAAAAAGAAAAUUUUAAAGUGUAAUGAAGUUAUUUAUGCAGAAGAGGAAUGUUUUCACGUUGGUAGGAAAAUAAAGCCUGGCCAUUUUAUUCUUUCUAAAACAAAACAAAACCCCCGACUCUUCCUCACCUUAGAAAGACAAAGCAGAAUGAGCUUGAACUCUUCACAACCAGAGGCCAGGUCUCCUGGCUUUUCCCACACAAACUUCAGCAUAGAAAGGAAAGCUCAGGACAGCAGCCUGUACCACUUGAAAUCCUAAAGCCUUACACAUUUUCCUGAAAGAUGCCCUUAAUGCAUUUCCAGCUUUAUCAGCGAUCAGCAGUUUAAUCGGCAUUUAAGUCUCUCAAAUUCUUACCUGAGAAAUAAAGAAGAAAUGGUUCUUUUCUAAAAAGUUAUAAUAAGAGCUCUCGGGUUUUCUCUUUUUAAUAGAAUCUUGCCUGAUUAGAGGACACCUUAAAAAACCUUUCACAUGAUGGCAAAUUUUCGUAGUGUUUUAUCAUUUACACCUGGAGAUGGUUAACAAUGUGGUCUCGAUCCUAAUUUUAUCUCGUGCCCCCAAGAUGAUUCUGCACCUGCCAGUCAACUGUUUCCCUUCCGGUAAAACUCCUGGUAGAAGAGAGGUCUCAGAGGCAGAGCCACCGAGCCACGGGGUGGUAAGCCCGCGCGGAUGUCCCCAAGCCCGGCGCCCGCCCUGCAGAAGCCCACUCCUCUCACUCCCUCCAGGGUUCGCGGCGCCUGCCCCGGAGUGCGGCGCAGCUCCGCAUCCUGCCAGCCCGGGUCCCCGCGCGAGCCGCCCGCGCUCCGCCUUAGCCACACCUUGAAAACGCCGGAUGGAGACUCGCCCAAAGCCGGGGCUGGCUCCCCGGGGCUCGCCGCCCCCUCGCCCUUCACCUUCACAUCCUGGAGAGGGACCGGCCCCGCCGUUACCUCCCGCACCGCGCUCCGCAACCCCCCAGCCAGACUCGAAGCCUCCGCUGACCGCCGGGAUGGGGCGGGGAGCGAGGGAGGGAGAUUCCCCGCGGGCCGCUCUCUUCCCCACGCCCGACCCCGUCCCCCGGUCAGCCCCCGGUGCAGCCAACGCCCCCGCCGGCCCACUGACACUGCAGGCGCCCCGGGCCGCCAAGCCUUUUCGGCACCGACCGGCCCUCCGGCACCGCACGUUCCAGCCGUCCGCUGCACCUGCGCUGCGGAGAACUGGACACCGAGCACCGUGACGCGCGGCCCCUUGCUCACUGAGCGCGGCGCUCACUGGGGUUAAUUUUCCCCUCGGCCGAAAGUCACAGGCGAGACCCCAAUCGUCCCCUCGGAGGAGGAGUCGGUCCCGGAUGUCACGUUUGCGACUUCUGAGGUCCUCGCCUGGGAGACUCGUUCCUCAACGACACAAAAGGGAAGCACUGGCCUAACCUUCGAGUCCGCCUCGCUUCAGACCACGUCCACCCGCGUUGUCGGCACCGGGGCGCAAGGCCACGGAGCCAAACGCCUGGAAGGGGCACACGACGUCACGGUUUUGGGGGCCCGGUCACCAGGAUGGCCGUGCUCUCCUUGACCCACACAGAACCUAAGAGCUUUUUUUACCUUUUAAGUUGAAGUCAUUGCAGAGUCUCGGUGAAAUGCUGCCCUGAAUUAGGAGCAGCCGGCGCGCGUUCCCGGAGGCGAGGGGAGCGCGGCGCCUUCGGCUUCCAGCGCUUCUCAGCCCCGAGACACCCGCGCGGGAGGGACUCGCAAACGCCUCCCGGGACCCGGACCCGCGCGGGGGAGGAUGGGUGGGCGUGGAAACCGACCGCCGAGCGUAGGGUUUGCCCCUUUACAGGAUUUUAUUUAUUUUUUUUCUUUGAGUAAAGCUUUAGGGACACUACUUCUCUUUCCUAGUAGGUAUAAGUGACAAAGUCCAAAAUCUUAACCACGGCGGGAAGCAGUCUGUGAAAACGGAUACCUUUCCGCAUAACACGCGCAUCUCUCGUCCAUCUGCCUCUUUCCCCCCUCCCCCACCCCCCCCCCCCCCCCCGCCAGCACACACUUAUCCCAAAAUAGCCGCCUUCGCUGAGACCAGUAGCUGCUGGAAAAGCUGCGGACACAGAUAUCCACACUUUCCGCAGUGGGGAGUCAAAACCUCCCGGCUGGGCGAUGAAACAAGAAGGGUGUGUUUGCCCAGUACUCUAGAAGGCAAUUGUAAUCCACAGAAGAAAUGGAAAUAAGGCUGUAACUACGGUGGAUGGAGGGGCGCAGGACGUGCUUGGCUGUUAUAGCAGGAAGUCAAUGUCAAAAACUGAUAAACAUGGAAUUAGCCUCGCAGGCAUAUUAAUUAAUUAACUGCCAGAGGAGCUUCGUUAUUAAUGCCGGUAAAGCCCAGUAGACCCAAAAGGGGGGCAGGAGGAUUGACUAACACUUGAGGAGGGAUGGAAUCUUCCCACAGCUCUUUGUAUUACAAGCCCGUUUGUAAUGUUGCUUUUUUUUUCCCCUGUAAGCCUGUGCAUCAUUUUAAAUGUUUAACUUAGUUUUAAAUGAAUAAAGACAACUAUUCACUCUCCAUGUGCAGUCUCUGUUCUGAAAUUACAAACUUGAAUUUUUAUGGUAUUUCUCCCUCCUGUAAUCUCCCUUUUCAGUGUAAUAUUUUUGAGGUGUGUGUAGGGGGCACCUACAAUCCCAAGUAUUGUUUUCAAACAUCCAAAUGGAUUUAUUAAAAUAAGCAGAAGAAUCCACUGCUUAGGAAACAACAAUGAUCCUGUCCCCUUCAUUUCGUGGAUAAGUCAGAAUUUUCUUCCCUUCACCCCAUCCACACCCCUCUGGCGAAAUAACUUGCGAGGGCUGAGUGAUUCAAAAACCCGGGUAUGAAGUUUCAACAUCGCUUAGAACUGCCAGAAGCCAGAAUUUAUUUCUUCAUUUGCUGCCCUCCCCCAUUCCAUUCUGCUCCUGUGCCCUCAAGAAUUCCAGCUCAGUUCAGUCUUUAAAAAGUAAAUGACAUGGAAAUGUGAUUCAGGACUUGAGAAACUAUGAUUGGUGGGGGAAGGGGCUGGACUGCAAGGUGAGUGUUAAUUUAGCAGACUUACCACUGCACUCAGUGUGUCCCACUGAACUGUCCCUUUGUAAAGACCUUGAGAUUUUCAUGCAACAUGGGAGUUCCUACGAAGUGAGGCAUUCUAUAUGAAGCUCUUCUCCAAGUGACAAUGAUUUCUAUUUUCAUUUUAUAAUCAAGAGGCUGAACUGCCAAAUCUCAGCAUGAAACACAGAUGGUCUGUGUUUCCAGCUUGUAUGCACAAGCUUACAAGACAGGGAAAAAUCUCAAUCCACUAAGCAAAGCACCAGGGGAGGUGAGUUAGUCUUGUCCUCCCAGUGGAACAAGGAAAUUAAAUUCCCCAAGUCGGCUGGGUAAGACGGAGAAUAAUCAGCAGGCAGAGAAGGGGAGAGAGUGUUUUCUGCCACACUAAAGCUAUCCUUUAAGCAUCCUCCCAUUGAUCCCUACAACAGUCAGUGAGGGGACAGGGUUUUUAGCAUUAUCCCUCCUUUUUUUUGGGGGGGGGGGCUCAAACCCAAACCACAGCAGCGACCUGAGCCACAGCAGUGACAAUGCUGGAUCCUUAACUGCUAGGCCACCACCCUUACUUUUUACAGAUUAGCCAACCAGAAACCAGAAAGAAUUAGUGCCUUUUCUAAACUCACAAAGCUUAGGUGCUGAGCCCGGGGAACUUCUAACCCAAAAUGUAGAGACUCUUCUCCUUUGGGAUCCAUCACACAUUCAGCCAUUCUCUGCUCUGUUCCAACAGCCCAUGUAGGCCCUGUGCUGUUAAGUUUGCUGCCCUGAACUGGAUGCAGGAGAAAGGAGUUGAUUGAGCCCCUGGAGACUGUCUCCAGCCUCAGCAAAGCAGGAACUCCCAAUGGAAAACCGAGGGAGGUACCAACGACCGAGCCCCUGGUCAUCCGUUUCCGAGGUGCCACGCUCCACAGAGUGAACAUCGACAGUCCUUCCCCCGGACCCCGCCACCCCACAUCCCCUCACCCUGCUCUCCUUGUAGCCGGAGGAAACCAGAUCGACAAGAACACCGCUCAGCCUCCUCUGGCCGGCUUGUCCAAGAGAUGGGUCAGUGGGAGGGCACAACUCCUAGAAUCCUGGAGAAAAGGGGGUCGGACUACAGCUACUGCAGUUAUUCCUCCGCAUGACCCAUCCGAAUCCCCACGCAGAAGCAAACCUCGCACGUCACCUCUUCGAGCAACAUCGCUUUGGGGAAUACUUGUGAGUUUCACUUUGGCAAAGUGUUUGAGACUGUGGCCCAAACAGAAAGGAGAUCCUCAAAGCUAAACUGUCUUCAGCAAGAAUAAGAUUCAAAAUUAUUUUUCUUUAUUCGGCCAAAUUGUUUGGACCUGAGCUACAGAGAACAUUGAAAAUAAAGAACAUCAUUAAUAUCAUAGCAACAACUUAUUGAGCCCUUGCUGUAUAUUAGUGCUAAGAAAUUUUACAUUUCACUAAGAAGUACAGUUUUACUAUUUGAAUAAUAUUUUGUACUGCACUAAGAAUUUUUAAUAUCCAGAAUCUUGAAUAACAAAGCCAGGAGAAUCGCCAAUGGUGAGGGUUUAGUGCUUGUGUAAGAGGCGCAGGGCAAAUUAAUUGCCAUGAAGCUGCCUAAUAAUUCAGGAGCAAGCACAGGGCUUUCUCACCAGAGGGAAGGUUAGGGUAGGUGGUACAGUGACACAUUAAGGAGAAGAAGCUUGCUUCCAAGUCAGAGGACCUGAGGGAAAGUUCUGGCAGCCACAGGCUGAUCACGUGGAGAAAGAAGCUGAACAUUCCUCAUCCCACUCCCAAUGGGGUUGGGGACAGGUAGGGAUGAAAUCCCACUCUUCCUCAGAUGAAUAUUCAGAAGGAAGCACCUUGUGAGCAGAAAGAAUAAUUCCAUGCUGAAAUAAUGGCUGUGAAAUCUCUCGACUGUCCAGGGUUGUCACAACGAAUGGGAGCGGAAUAGGCAGAGAAGGAAAGGCUGGACCUCUAUCAUGUGCCCAGCACUGUUCUGAGUAUUAAAAGCCAAACAAAGUGGACAGAAUGUUAGACGGCGAUGAUAUAUUUUGGUUCAUGGCACCCCCCCCCACUCCAUUUUCAAUGAAUUCCCUGCUCUUGUGUGUGCUUUUCUUGACAUCAGCACAAAGUUACAGAAGAAGCCAGAGUCUUUCGCAGUGCAAUUCAGAUUAAAGGUGAAAUUAUCUUCUGAGGUAAGAACAGUAAGUAAAAGAAUUCAUUUCAUUGUGCUAUUAUCUCAUAGCUGCUUGUAUAAGAAGUUUACAAGUUUACUUGUAAUUUAUCAGAUCUGCCCUGGUAGCUUUAAUAGAGGUGGAGGUAGUGUCUAGGUAGGCUAGAAAACACUGGCUGGCUUCUUUUUCUGAGUCCCUCAAGGCUGUGUAGACUAUGCUGGCAUCAAAUCAAGACAUCUCAGCCCAUGAAAGGGUUGGAUUCCUACCUCCUGACACACUAAAGCAUCUCAGAGGGCAGAUGGGGCAGGAAAGAGUGUGUGUUUGUUUCCAAAGGAAAACCAAUUUUAAAAAUUGACACAAAUGUAAUGUUUUAAAAACCAGUCACUAGCUGAUAUCUGUGCAGAUACCUCAUCAGCAUCUGCUUGAGGAAAGAGGAGUCUGUGCCUCUAGGGCUGCCUCCCCCCAAGAGGUCCAACCUGGAUCAAAUUUUACAUCCUGUCCUGCCCCUUCACACUCUAUUGGUGUCAUCGGCACAACGUUGUAAAUCAACUAUGCUUUAAUAAUAAAAUAUAAUUUUAAAAAACCUAUAUUGGUGUCUCUGACCUAAAACUUUUUCCCUGGUUUUUCCACCAGUGUCCACAUCUCUAUACUUAACAAUGAGAAAGGGUCAUUUAAGGAUAAAAGCUGUCUCAAUCUGUUGCCUAGUAACAAAACUCCCUGAACUCUACAGUUUACAACAACCAUC